rnacentral:siRNA from 1 species
AUCUUUUGCAACUACAUAUAGAAC